GAUGAACGCUGGCGGCGUGCCUAAUACAUGCAAGUCGAGCGAACAGACGAGGAGCUUGCUCCUCUUACGUUAGCGGCGGACAGGUGAGUAAAACGUGGAUAACCUACCUAUAAGACUGGGAUAACUUCGGGAAACCGGAGCUAAUAACGGAUAAUAUAUUGAACCGCAAGGUUCAAUAGUGCAAGACGGCUUUGUUGUCAAUUAUAGAUUGAUCCGCACCGCAUUAGCUAGUUGGAAAGGUAACGGCUUACCAAGGCGACGAUGCGUAGCCGACCUGAGAGGGUGAUCAGCCACACUGGAACUGAGACACGGUCCAGACUCCUACGGGAGGCAGCAGUAGGGAAUCUUCCGCAAUGGGCGAAAGCCUGACGGAGCAACGCCGCGUGAAUGAUGAAGGUCUUCGGAUCGUAAAACUCUUUUAUUAGGGAAGAAAAAAUAUGUAAGUAACUAUCCACUCCUUGACGGUACCUAAACAAAAAGCCACGGCUAACUACGUG
rnacentral:rRNA from 1 species